GGUUGUAGCUGGCUCUCCGGAGCAUGUGCACGCCCGUCACCUUUAUCUUUCCACCUGUGCACACACUGUAGUCCUGGAUACCUCUCGCUGCAAGGCGGAUGCAGAGGCUGCCGUGCUUUCGAAAGAAGGUCGGCUUCCUCUGAAUUUCCAGGUCUAUGAUUUUUCACACACCCCAAACGAAUGUUAUAGAAUGUUAUCAUAAGGCCCUAGUGCCUAUAAACUUAUACAACUUUCAACAACGGAUCUCUUGGCUCUCGCAUCGAUGAAGAACGCAGCGAAAUGCGAUAAGUAAUGUGAAUUGCAGAAUUCAGUGAAUCAUCGAAUCUUUGAACGCACCUUGCGCUCCUUGGUAUUCCGAGGAGCAUGCCUGUUUGAGUGUCAUUAAAUUCUCAACCUCACCAAUUUUUGUAAUGAAAGUUGUGUGCAGGCUUGGAUGUGGGGGUUUGCAGGUCCGCCUCCUGGUGGUCUGCUCCUCUGAAAUGCAUUAGUGGGUUGUGCCCCUAAUCUAUUGGUGUGAUAAUUAUCUACGCCGUGGAUCAGGUUGGCUACUAUAGACCUGCUUCUAACCGUCCGUCUCGGACAACUUUGACAUUUUUGACCUCAAAUCAGGUAAGACUACCCGCUGAACUUAAGCAUAUCAAUAAGCCGGAGGAA
rnacentral:rRNA from 1 species